rnacentral:lncRNA from 15 species
AAAGAAACAACAAAUUAUCAUCUGGACCUAUUUAAUAUGUUAGUCAUUUUUGCUUCAAAAAUUACCUACAUGAUGAAUGGGUUAUCAAAACAUUUGCCGAUGGACUGAUCCAUUAAGUGACUACUUCUUUCAACUCUAGAUUUAACAUUUUAUUUUGUUUCGCUUUUUGGUCUAAGGACCACUGGUCUACUACUCUGUAGUAGCAUCAUAUUUAACGAUACAUUUGAAGUCAGGACUCAAGGUAGAGCUUUGAUCAGACCCAAAAAAUCAGGCCUGACCCGACCAGAGCACAAAAAUUCUGUCUGAGCCAAAACCGUGGAAGCAGGUUUGGCCGUAAAAAUCUAAUUCAAGGUUUUGGGUACUGCUGGCCCCUGAGAGUGUACAUACAUCAUCAAAGUAUCUGAACUAUUUCAGGAUUUUAUGAUGAAGAGCUAAUUAAACAGUGAAACAUCAAACAGUUUUUCUUUCAAAAAGGCUUGCUUACUGUUCUCUGAUACAAAAGUCACCAAAUUCGUUGCCCUAAAUUGUAAAUUCUAAAACUUUCCACAGAAGGAAACAAAUUUAUAUCACAUUUCCCGCUGAACAGGAAGUGGUGUGGUUUACUCUUCCUUUUAGUCUAUAAAAACAAAAGACGACGAUACGUUAUUGCAUGACGUGUGUUGGCAACAGGAAAAUGCGGCACACACAGAAACUACAAAAACAACAGUUUGAGUGACAGUUAAUAACUGGAGAAAGCAGAGGCAUGAAGGCAGUGAAGUGCAGGCACCAGAGAGACACAGAAUUUGUUUAUACCACAGCAUGAGAGGAAGCAGAAAUGCAAAGAUGACAGCUCAAGCUCGCCACUUCAACAUCUUCAUCAGCUGCACAAUUUAUUUGAGCUUCACCUUCCGCAAAAGCCAUGGUUUUGAGGUGAUUCAACCACAGAACCAGACUGUAAACUCAGACGGGUCAGCCUCUAUCAGCUGUGAACACACUGCAAACGGCACCAUUGUCGAUGUUCGGCUCAUCGGCAUAUCACUUGGAGACAAACCUAUACAGACCAUUCUCUGCCAGAAGGGAAUGGACGCCUGUGAUAAAAUUAUAAUGCAUCAAGAGAAUCCCAAAAAGUUCCUUUUCAUCUUACUCAACAUUGGGCCGGUGGAGAUGAACAAGAAAUACGAGUGCGAGUUCACAGUGAAAUGUGAUAACGAUGUAGAUUACACCAGUACAGGAAGACAGACCGAACUACUACCAGGUCAAAAGGAAGCGGUCUGCAUAUCUCACCCUCCUCCUCCUCCUUCUUCUCCUCCUCCUCCUCCUCUUCCUGUUCCUCUGUCUCAUGAGCUCAGAUGGAUUCUGAUUGGUCUGCUGGCUCUCAUGUUCCUGUACAGCUGUGUCAUCACCUCCUUCUACAUCAGACUGAGGUUCAGCAACAGAGAACCUGACAACUCCACCUAUGUUGUAAUGAGGAAAGCUCCUCUGCAAAGGAAUCCACCUUUAGACAUUUAUUGUGGCUAAUGGAUUCAGCUUUCUUCACCACUGGCCUCACACUGACUGUAAUGAGAGGGAAGACAUGGAUCCUAGGAGGAACUCUUCUGACAGCUUUUUUUUCAUGCAGCUGGAAUCAUAAUCGCCAACAUUUGCAGUUUUCCAUUUUAUCUCAAGUCUCUUUUCCUACAUGAUUUGAAAACCAUUGUACUACUGAAUAUAAACAGAUAAACAGUGAGACAAAGACUGUCUAAAGUGGCCGUGCUGUAUGCUACUGUACAUCUGCUUUUAUAGUUGUGCAAUAUGGUAUUGUUAUAUAUUAUAUAUAUGGAUAUGUACAAUUAAUUAUUAAUCUUACCCCUUUUCAAUCAGAUACUUCUUAAUGGAAGCUAUAUAAUGCUUUGACUGAUUUUAUGUAUACCCCCAUACUUCAGAAAAGUAUUUAAAAGCUUUAAAAAUAUGAUCUUGACUAAAAUUUGUUUGGUUUGGCUUCUAUGGCUUGCACCUGCCUAAAUUAUUGUAUUUAGUUGUUUUCAAGUAAUGAACCCAAAGCAAACUUGUAAGCUCGAGAGCUAUAUUUUCCCUUUUUAAUAACCCUUAUUGAAUGAAAUGUGUACAUAGGGGAAAAUCCAGGGUAGAGUGCACAGAGGAGGAGAGGGAAAAUAGAGAGAAACUCCAGGAGGCAAUUUGUUUUUCCAAGGCCGGUAAAAGAAUCAUCCAAUCAUAGUGUUGGGUUUGACCUCAAGAAAAAUAUAUAUAGUACAAUAAUGAAAUGGUAACACCAGGGAAAGAGAGAACAUGAUAAGGAAACACAGUGAACAGAAAAUGAAUUAAUGGAAAACUCUUCACAGCUGCCCCAACUCUCUCUCCCUUUUUUUCCCGAUGAUGAAUUAAUCCAAAUGCCUUACAUAUGCACUAUAUAUGAUACUUUUUUGUUCAUUUCCAUUGUGAAUUGAAUGCAUUUUAUUUUACACUGUAUGAGUUCCAUUGCAGUUUUGGUGUUCAAGCACUUGCACAUUACAGUGUUACUGUUAUUAAUAUUUUUCUUUAUUAUCAUAUGUUUUCACUGGCCACUGGCUGUCCCAGGAGACAGUUUGGUGGGCCUCUGUCCAGUCACUAGCAGCUGGGCUUUACUGGUACAAAGGGCAUGGUGGAGAGGUCUUCAUCCAUUCCAGAAGAACAAGGCAAUUCUGGGACAAAUUUAUUGCUAUUAGUCAUUCCUCUGUGUAUGGGCCUCCUCCUGAAUAGGAAGGAGGAUAAUAAAUAAAUUAAUGCAUAGACAAUUAAGAUGGACAUUCUAGCCAACUCCUUUUCUGUUGCUGUUGGCCACGGUAGUACUUUACGUAUUAAUUUCUUGAAGUAUGAAUAUUCAGUUUUCUUCACGCUGUUUAAGGUAUCUUUUAUGUCACCUUUAAUUUUGACACAUUUUAUCAAAGAAGGAAAAGAAGGACAGUCCUAUCCAAAAUGACCUAACUAAAAGCUAAAUAAAAGUAAAAAAAUUCACUUCAAUUCAAUUUUAUUUGUAUAGCGCCAAUUCAUAACAGAAGUUAUUUCAGGACACUUUUCAAGUAGAGCAGAUCUAGACUGAACUCUUUAUAACAUUAUUUACAGAGACCCAACAGUACCACCAUGAGCAAGCACUUGGCGACGGGGGCAAGGAAAAACUGCCUUUGAGA